rnacentral:rRNA from 1 species
GACAGAGGGUGCAAACGUUGCUCGGAAUUACUGGGCGUAAAGCGCGUGUAGGUGAAUUGGUGUGUCAGAUGUGAAAUCCCUGGGCUCAACCCAGGAACUGCACCUGAAACUACCAGUCUUGAGUGGUGGAGAGGGAAGUGGAAUUCCUGGUGUAGAGGUGAAAUUCGUAGAUAUCAGGAGGAACACCAGUGGCGAAGGCGGCUUCCUGGACACCAACUGACGCUGAGACGCGAAAGCGUGGGGAGCAAACAGG